AUGAUUCUUGCCGCGACCCUUACCCUUCUGUUUGCCUACAAGGAUGUGCUGUGCAUCACGCUGACCCAGAGCUCCACUGACCAGACAGUGGCAAGCGGCACUGAAGUAACACUGCUCUGCACGUACAAUGCGGAUUCUCCAAACCCAGAUUUAUUUUGGUAUCGCAAAAGGCCAGACAGAUCCUUCCAGUUCAUCCUUUAUAGGGACGACACUAGUUCCCAUGAUGCAGAUUUUGUUCAAGGUCGAUUUUCUGUGAAGCACAGCAAGGCCAACAGAACCUUCCAUCUGGUGAUCUCUCCAGUGAGCCUUGAAGACAGCGCUACUUAUUACUGUGCCUCGGGGUAU